rnacentral:rRNA from 1 species
GACGAACGCUGGCGGCGUGCUUAACACAUGCAAGUCGAGCGAUGAAGCUCCUUCGGGAGUGGAUUAGCGGCGGACGGGUGAGUAACACGUGGGCAACCUGCCUUAUAGAGAGGAAUAGCCAUCCGAAAGGAUGAUUAAUACCUCAUAAUAUUGUAGCUUCGCAUGGAGCAACAAUCAAAGGAGCAAUCCACUAUAAGAUGGGCCCGCGGCGCAUUAGCUAGUUGGUGAGGUAACGGCUCACCAAGGCGACGAUGCGUAGCCGACCUGAGAGGGUGAUCGGCCACAUUGGGACUGAGACACGGCCCAGACUCCUACGGGAGGCAGCAGUGGGGAAUAUUGCACAAUGGGGGAAACCCUGAUGCAGCAACGCCGCGUGAGUGAUGACGGCCUUCGGGUUGUAAAGCUCUGUCUUCAGGGACGAUAAUGACGGUACCUGAGGAGGAAGCCACGGCUAACUACGUGCCAGCAGCCACCGUAA